rnacentral:rRNA from 1 species
GCGUAACGCGUGGGAACCUGCCCUUAGGUUCGGAAUAACUCAGAGAAAUUUGAGCUAAUACCGGAUAAUGUCUUCGGACCAAAGAUUUAUCGCCUUUGGAUGGGCCCGCGUAGGAUUAGAUAGUUGGUGGGGUAAUGGCCUACCAAGUCGACGAUCCUUAGCUGGUCUGAGAGGAUGAUCAGCCACACUGGGACUGAGACACGGCCCAGACUCCUACGGGAGGCAGCAGUGGGGAAUAUUGGACAAUGGGCGAAAGCCUGAUCCAGCAAUGCCGCGUGAGUGAUGAAGGCCUUAGGGUUGUAAAGCUCUUUUACCAGGGAUGAUAAUGACAGUACCUGGAGAAUAAGCUCCGGCUAACUCCGUGCCAGCAGCCGCGGUAAUACGGAGGGAGCUAGCGUUGUUCGGAAUUACUGGGCGUAAAGCGCACGUAGGCGGCUUUUCAAGUCAGGGGUGAAAUCCCGGGGCUCAACCCCGGAACUGCCCUUGAAACUGGAUGGCUAGAAUACUGGAGAGGUGAGUGGAAUUCCGAGUGUAGAGGUGAAAUUCGUAGAUAUUCGGAAGAACACCAGUGGCGAAGGCGACUCACUGG